rnacentral:rRNA from 1 species
UACGGGGGGGGCAAGCGUUGUUCGGAAUUACUGGGCGUAAAGGGCUCGUAGGCGGCCAACUAAGUCAGACGUGAAAUCCCUCGGCUUAACCGGGGAACUGCGUCUGAUACUGGAUGGCUUGAAUCCGGGAGAGGGAUGCGGAAUUCCAGGUGUAGCGGUGAAAUGCGUAGAUAUCUGGAGGAACACCGGUGGCGAAGGCGGCAUCCUGGACCAAUACUGACACUGAGGAGCGAAAGCCAGGGGAGCAAACGGG